UACGUAGGCAGCAAGCGUUGUUCGGAGUUACUGGGCGUAAAGGGUGCGUAGGCGGUCGGGUAAGUCGGAUGUGAAAUCUCAGGGCUCAACCCUGAAACUGCAUUCGAUACUGCCUGGCUAGGGUACUGGAGAGGAGACUGGAAUUUACGGUGUAGCAGUGAAAUGCGUAGAUAUCGUAAGGAAGACCAGUGGCGAAGGCGAGUCUCUGGGCCGUUACUGACGCUGAGGAGCGAAAGCGUGGGGAGCGAACAGG
rnacentral:rRNA from 1 species